GAGUUGACCCAAUAUAUACCUCUACAGAAAUUGCUUCAAUUCUAAAUUUUAAGAACACUUAAUUGCACUCUUAAGAAAAGAAACCCACCCACUAAGAACAUGCUAUACACUAACUACAUAAACCAACCAUAGUAGCCAAGAUCUUGCUGUUUAUACCGACUUCAAACCAGUUUCAAUCCAUUAGAUAGAAAUGCUGUUGGGGAUUCCACGACCGGUAACCCCUGGACCUGAAGAGGGAAGGAGCAAUUCAUAAGGGGGAAUUCCUGCACCAGUUCUGUUUUUAAGACUGAUAUCCUUGUUUCUCAUAUUUAUUGUCCGCUCUAUCUCCUCUAAUCGAGCCGAGAAUCUAUUGAACAUUUCUAGUAUUUCAUGAUCAUUUAUCCAAUGGCUAUGUAGCUGGUUCACCUGACCCAAGUACUCUUCAUCUGGGGAAUGAGUCGACAGUGUGUCUUGCACGGCCAUCACUUUGGUGGCUUGAAGUUGAGUUGGCAAAGAUGAGAGAAAAGUAUGCUGGGGGUUCAGCAUAAACUUCUCAUAAUCAGGCUCGUCCUCUUGGGGGAUGAGUUUUCUCAUUAGAGUAGGUCGAUUAGGCACAUACCCACCAAAAGGAUACUGCCCAAAAUUUAUGGCUGCGUGUUGACCUGAUGCAAUCCAGAUCAUUAUAGUUAGUAUGCCAGAUAAGUCCUCUUUGGUAUCGAGUUUAGGCCACCAUGGUUCAUUCCUUUUGUCAUAAUGGCCUUUGUUCUUGAUUUCAUCCCACCAGGCUUGGAGCUCAAUGUCAGAUGUGACAGAAUUAGGUUCAGAGUAGAAGUGAUUGACAUAAGAUUCUACCCAAUCUUUGAUGGCUGACCAGAUGAGGAGGCCGUCUGAAGCAUAAGGGUAGUCCUCAAUCACAAGUCUCACACCACAGGGCAUUGAAGGAUCCUCCACUGCCAUGCCCCUGCGAAUAAGAUCUGCAGGCAAAGCCUCCAUGUCAAACCGCCACAUACUCUUGUAUGCUGCAGAGCUAAUCUCCAUGGCAUACUUUCCAGGACUGAAUGAAGCCUCAAUUAUUCCUCCUCCAUUUAUCAAACUUUGCCGUGCAAGUGCAUUAAUUUCUAGUGUAUAUCGCAUAUGAGGAUGAAGCAGCUUGUAAAUUGGAUGCAUUGCACUGAGCUGUCUAUGAGUUGCAAUUAUAUAAGGCUCCAUGCAAGCAUGAGUCCUCAACCAGUGAUUUACUAGUUGAUGGACCCCAGCAUCAUUGGAGCAGACAUGAGCUUUGGCUAGCUUCCAAAUCCAAUGUGUUGUAGCAUCAUGCCCAUGAGUGUAAACAUGUUUAUUGCGAGGUGAAGAACGUGUAGGAGGAAGUGAAAGCUCAAUAGCUACUGGCCUCAGCAUACCAGCUCGGUUAUAGAAGAAAACCGUCCUUGAGGCGUAAGCUUUUCUCCCUGGCAAGGAGUUCAUCUUGUUCAUAAACGGCAAAAGCAUGUCAUGGAAAUCAAGUAUAAACAGCCUGUUCUCCUCAAUUGCCUUUUCUACGCUCAUUCCAUUGAGUUCAUGCUCUAUUAACUCCUUGGUGAGUGCUGAUUCUGGAGGGCCAUAUACAGCAGGGUCUAGUUUACUGAGAAUUGGAAAUUCCUUCAAAAUCUCAAUGUUCACUGGAUUGACCCCGGCCAAAGUCUGGCGAGCAAACUCAUUAUCGCGCAACCAAGCAAAUCUAUCCCGUUUUAUGAUAGCUGGGAUUUCAUAUUUCAAUAACCUGUCGCCAACGCUAAUAACCUGUUUCAUAACAUUACCCAACGCAGGAUGAACUAAUUUAUGUUCUUCGGUUCUUAAGAGAAGACCAUCAUUGUAUAGCUUAUCAAUAUCAGAGAAACAUUUGAAGGGAAUAUCUGAACUUGACAAUGCAGCAGCAAUAGAUGGAAUGAGAUUGUGAAGCAGAGCUUUCAACCUUCCAGCAGAGAAAGUGCUCUGCUUG
rnacentral:misc_RNA from 1 species